rnacentral:rRNA from 1 species
AUUGAACGCUGGCGGAAUGCUUUACACAUGCAAGUCGAACGGCAGCACGGGGGCAACCCUGGUGGCGAGUGGCGAACGGGUGAGUAAUACAUCGGAACGUGCCCAGUCGUGGGGGAUAACGUAGCGAAAGUUACGCUAAUACCGCAUACGAUCUACGGAUGAAAGCGGGGGACCGUAAGGCCUCGCGCGAUUGGAGCGGCCGAUGUCAGAUUAGGUAGUUGGUGAGGUAAAGGCUCACCAAGCCGACGAUCUGUAGCUGGUCUGAGAGGACGACCAGCCACACUGGGACUGAGACACGGCUCAGACUCCUACGGGAGGCAGCAGUGGGGAAUUUUGGACAAUGGGCGCAAGCCUGAUCCGGCCAUUCCGCGUGCAGGACGAAGGCCUUCGGGUUGUAAACUGCUUUUGUACGGAACGAAAAGGCUCUGGUUAGUACCUGGGGCUCAUGACGGUACCGUAAGAAUAAGCACCGGCUAACUACGUGCCAGCAGCCGCAGUAA